ACUGUCAUUUAGAAAAGAUGACACUGACAAAACCAUGGAGGCUAGUUUGGAGACGUUUGUUACUUUCUGUUGAAAGAGAACAAUUAGGAGGCUACUGUAGUGGUCACUCGAGACUAAUCAUGUGAGAUAAGGUUGGCAGAAGGGAAGGUCCUUCUCAUCAAACAGAGGAAGAAACUGAAGCUCUGACUGGUGAAUGAAUUCAAGGAAUGGAUUAAAGAGAUAGCAAAGGGACAACAAACCUUAUACUAUGGAAAGAUUUGGUUGAAAAAUGAUCUUCUAUUGACUAGCAAGUUCUGACAAGGCCCACUGUGUGGGUGUAUGGAAAAUUGAAAGGAAAACCUAAAGGAGUCUUUUGGGAGAAACUGCUAACAGGAACUAAAGCUCCCACCCAGAUGGAGGAUUGUAACUAUAUGCUAAGAGAGCAGACUGGUUGGACCCAGAAGACUGAUGAUCGAGAUUCCUAGAACACUACCCUGUUACCUCACUGCCAACCAAUCAGAAGAAAGUCACACACUCUGCAGCCCUCCCCCCAAAUUUUCCCUUUAAAAACCAUCCGGGAAUUUGGGUUUUUUGAGCAUGAACUGCCUGUUCUCCUUGCUUUGCCCUUGCAAUAAGCAUUUCUCUGCUCCAAACUCUGACAUUAUGGUUUGUUUGGCCUCACUGUGCAUUGGGCACAUGAACUUACAUUCAACAACAGAUUUACUAGUUAACCCAGUAUUUUUGCUGGUUUACUAGCAGCUCUACUGAGAUCUAACAUAUAUACCAUAUCAUUCACCCAUUUGAACUGAAUAAUUCACUGAUUUUUAUUAUAUCUUUCUAGUUUGAACUCCCCACAAUUUUGGCAGAAGACAAUUCUCCUGGAAAUCUUGCAUGGUCCCACCAAAUAGUUUUAAUUUAAGGAUAAAUAAAGAAUGAAAAGAGACAAGAAAGAGGGAGGAAGAGAAUGUGUAUAAUUAUUUCAAUGCUUUCUACAAUAAUAUUGAAAUGAAACAUAUGAUGUCAAUGAUGAGUAAAGGAGACAUGCACUUUAAAUUCAAUUUGUUAUGUAUCUCAUCUAGGAACAAUUAAGUUAGCUCUCUUUAGACUUCAUUCUUUACUACUUUCAUUAUAACACUUUCACACACUGCUUGAUAUUUUGUAUUUUGUAUGUGUCUGUGGAAGAGCAAGAACUGUGAAUUAUAUUUUUGUAUUUCUCUUCAGGACUUGUACUAUUUUGCACAUAGUAAAGGCAAAAUACACAUGCAGUGCAUCACAUUGUAAAACAAAAGAGGAAAAUGGAAGAAAUGAUGUAUCAUCACACAGAAAAUAUAUGAUGAGAAUCUUAAUAUCACAGCCCCAUAUUGACUUUAAAAAUCUGAAUAUUUCAGGUAACAGUUUUUAAGUCUUACUAAUUUCAUUUCUUCAGAUUACUACAGAUUUGUCCUUUAGCUACUUUUCACUCCAGAGGAACAAGGUGUGAGAGUGUAGCUCUCUAUUUAUAAAGAUCAAUUUACCUACCGUUUCUUGAUGAGAGGUUGACAAGCUUUACAUAGUCUCAGGCAACCUCCCAUUACAUUUUAUGGUAGGAACCUAAAGAGAAUAAAGUAUUCAAUUGAAUCCCGAGGAUGUUUUCAGAAAUAAUUAUCCAAGUGGAGGUACUGAAAUAGCACCAGAAAAGUAAGCUCACCCUCAAUCUGUUCCAAACUAUCUCCCCACCCCUCCAAAGGAAAAAAUAUGGAAUAAGAAAAUUAAUGCAUUAGCAUAAUUAUUUGAAUCUUGUGAAACUACUUCCAUACCCUUGGAGUUUGGAGGUCAGUCUAAUUUCUUGAUUAGCUGAGUGUAUAUUAAAUUGGAUCUCUUUGAAUUUUGGGAGUUGUCCAUCAAUAAUUAACAACCUGUUAAUUAAAUGUAAAUGUCUCUGUCCCCUAA